CCUACGGGUGGCAGCAGUGGGGAAUAUUGGACAAUGGGGGGAACCCUGAUCCAGCCAUGCCGCGUGUGUGAAGAAGGCCCUCGGGCUGUAAAGCACUUUCAGUGAGGAAGAACGCCUGGUGGUUAAUACCCAUCAGGAAAGACAUCACUCACAGAAGAAGCACCGGCUAACUCCGUGCCAGCAGCCGCGGUAAUACGGAGGGUGCGAGCGUUAAUCGGAAUUACUGGGCGUAAAGCGCGCGUAGGUGGCUUGAUAAGCCGGUUGUGAAAGCCCCGGGCUCAACCUGGGAACGGCAUCCGGAACUGUCAAGCUAGAGUGCAGGAGAGGAAGGUAGAAUUCCCGGUGUAGCGGUGAAAUGCGUAGAGAUCGGGAGGAAUACCAGUGGCGAAGGCGGCCUUCUGGACUGACACUGACACUGAGGUGCGAAAGCGUGGGUAGCAAACAGGAUUAGAUACCCUGGUAGUC
rnacentral:rRNA from 1 species